CUCUUCAACAGGAGAAUAGCCCCUGUAUCCACAUGAUCGGAAGAUUUAAAAAUCGCAAGACGACUGAACUACACAUUUUUCUGGCAUGUGUAGCUCGAAUUCAUUGUCUAUAGACUCAAGUUAGUUAAAAUUUGACGGUGACCGUGGUCAUUCAACACUUCGUUUUUGGUUUCUUGUUUUAUUUAUUUAGUUUUCGAAUGUUUAAUUUCAUUCCCAAAAAUGUCGCGCGUUAGUGCAACCCUCCUCGGUAAAGCUAGUGAAGUCAGUGAGAUUGAUACAUUCCAAGUGGAUGUCAUUGGUGAUAUAUUAGAUAAUUGUCGAUCAAUUCCGAACAAUUUUCAUAAUUUAUCUAACGAAAAUUCCAACCGCCUUUUUCAUGGCAUGCAUCGUUUAUUCAGCCCCGAUACCUCAAAGGGUUGCAAUACAUUGCAUGGACACAAAGGCUUUGACUGCAAUAAAACAUCCAACGGUAGUGUCAGCGGACGAUAAGGUUUUCCAUUUAAGUUUUUGUGAUACUUUUGCUGAUAUUAAAGAUCAUGCAAAUAGGCAUUAUGGAAAUGAGAGCUACGAAAUGCCAUGGACGGUACCUAAAUCGGAUAUAGUUGUAAACAAUCGCUCUAACAUUAUACCGUGUGAUUUAUUCAAUUUUAAAAGUGGCAAAUCGGUCACAACGUACGAUGUGGUGUGUUCCCGAGGCGGUUUUGUUGUGGUCACUCAAGGAAUGCAUCUUGUGGGCAUAUUUUUAAGUGGAAUUGUAUUGAGAUAUGCAUUGAAAGUUAUCAGUCCGAAAAAUGUGAUGCGAUCGGCCAUGAUAGUACAAAUUAUUUGUGGCAAUAUUGCUGGACUGGUUGAAUCAUUUGUCGUACAUUUAAUUUUCCGUGCUCUAGCAGCCAUUGGAUGUGCAGCAGCUUUCGGGGCGGGAUCAGUGAUAUGUCGGGAAUAUAGUUUCAGAUAUAACACGAGGACGAUUCAAACAGUCAGCGGUAGUGUUGUUCGACACGUUUUGGUCAAUUGGAAUUGUGAUACUGUCAUUCAUAACCCAAUAUGAGAGUAGAUGGACUCAAUUGUACUUGGUGAUAUCCUACCCAACAUUAAUAAUCGUAGUCCUUACGAUAUGGAUGCCAGACUCACCGCGCUGGCUGUUGAGUCAUGGAGACAUAGAGGGUACUUUUAAAUUAUUAGUUCACGCAGCCGAAUGUUGUGAUUUAAAAGAUAAUCUACCCGCAAAUCUGGCAUUUAAGCUAAAACUGCAAGCAAUGCAACUAUUACGACAUCGACGACAAGCAACAUGGUUGUCACUGUGGCAAAACACAGCCUUAACGAGCUUACGUGUGUUAUCAACUCACAUAGCAUUCGCUUGCUUCACGAUCAUGUAUUUCGGAAUGGUGUUAAACAUGCGAAACUACGGUCGCUAUCAAUUACCCACAAGUGCCAGGUUUCUAGCGCUAAGUGAACUAACAGGAUGCUUUGUGGGUUAUUUGUUUGUUAGCAAAACGAAACAUACUUUCCUAUGGUCAGGUAUAUUUAAUGUCUUCGGAGCAUUGACUGCGUUUUGCAUAUGGUUCUGGAAAAGUAGAGAGGUAGAAUUCGUUGACGAAGGCAUCCUUUUGUAUUUUUGUCUAAUACUCAAGGCGUCAGUGUCCAGUUCGUUUGGAAUACUAUCAGCAUGUGGUGCUGACUCAUUGAACAAAGAUGCCAAAGCUGUAAUGAUGUUUUCUUCAGUGUUAUGCGGCAGGCUAUUUUUACUAAACGCCCCAGUUAUAGUGUCAUUAGCACAGUUUUAUGGAAAGUACGUAUCGCUGACGGUGUUUGCUACACUUGGUGCUAUUGGCGGAUUAUGUAUGAUUGCUAUAGAUAGUAUAAGUUGAUUAAAUUGUAAUUAUUGAAAUAAACUGUGAUAGUGA